GUGAUACCAAAAUGUGUCAUAUCACUUUGCAUAGUCAAUAAUCGAUUGAUGGCUCUAAACGAGGCCAAUCCUUUCCCCUCCGUGCUCGCCAAAGGAAUCCGAUCGUGCACCGACGACCCAAUCGAUUGAUGGUGCUGCGGCGAUCAAGUCAGACCCUUGGUCACCAAUUCCCUCUUCUGCCUCUCUCUCUCUCUCUCUCUCUCUGAGGCGACUCAUCCUCUCUCCGCACGGCGACUCAUCGCGGCAAGAUGGCAAGAGACGAAGCAUCGACCAUCCAUCCUAUGCUCCCGAUCCGUCACAGGAAGAUUCGAUGCCGUCGGCGGAUCCCGGUGAGAACCCUGACGGCAGCGAAUCCGUCGGCGGCGGUCUCCCAAUCAGAAUCGCUGCCAGCGGCGGAUUCUUCCCGCUAGUGUCGGUGGAUUUGCCGCCGCCGUCGACGGAUUCUUACCGCAACCUUCCCCUGUUUCCUAUCCGCGCCUCCCAUCCUCCUGCCGCCGGGUUUCCCGCCGUCGUUCACUCCUUCCCUGUGUCCUCUCUGCCCCCUUCCCCCUGUCGCCGACGACUGUGAAGCCGGUUUCCGCCGCCGUCAGUAAGAACCCCAACUAUCGGGCCAUGACACCACUCUCUAACUUUCCAAUAUCAACGGACCAAGAACAGUUCAAGGAAACAGAGAGCCAGGUCAAGGAAGAAGUAUAUUGGAUCCUAAGAUGGAAAAGCAGUGGGUUCUCAAGAGGAGUCUCAAAAUACAGAGGAGUUGCAAGGUUUAAAUUGCUAUCUUUUUGCUUGUUCCAAGUCUUAUCAAAUAGGAUAAACAUGCAUUACUAUUAUGAUUUAUGGUGAUGCUGAGCAGCUGACUCACCACCAUCCUAGUCUGCUUUCCUUUUCAUGCAGAUGUAUGAAGGUUAGGGCUGCCAUGACCUAAUUCUUGCUUGUUUGAGUAAAAGAGAAGAAGAAGAAGAAGAAGAAGAAAACUAUGGAGUAAAUGUUGACUUUGUAUCAUCAUUUUUAUGUUAAUUUUAUGGUAUUUAAAAUAUAUUUUUAAAAUCUUAGCAAGAAAAAUAAAGUCAAUAAGUCAAAACAAAAAAUACCACAUAUUUUAGGAAAGAAAAAUUAUGCCAGGUUGAUUAAUGAAAAGGUAAGUAAAUUUUUUAGACAUCUGAUGUGUUUUUAUAUUUACUAACAAUAUUAUAUUUUAUGUUUUGUUAGAAAGUCAAGAUAGGAAAGAAGUUAACUAAAGAUGAUGUUUUUAUUAUUGGUGAUGAAAAAAAAAAAAGAUAAAAUGUCUGUGAGUGAGGAUGCAACAAAAGUAAUUGUUUGUAUCACUUGAUCUUUUGAGAAAAGCACUAUAAAUAUUUUUUUAAUAAUUUUUUGAUAUUAUAUUAUUCAAAACUUUCAAGAGAA